rnacentral:rRNA from 1 species
AGUGAACGCUGGCGGUAGGCCUAACACAUGCAAGUCGAACGGCAGCACAGUAAGAGCUUGCUCUUACGGGUGGCGAGUGGCGGACGGGUGAGGAAUACAUCGGAAUCUACUUUUUCGUGGGGGAUGACGUAGGGAAACUUACGCUAAUACCGCAUACGACCUACGGGUGAAAGCAGGGGAUCUUCGGACCUUGCGCGAGUGAAUGAGCCGAUGUCGGAUUAGCUAGUUGGCGGGGUAAAGGCCCACCAGGGCGACGAUCCGUAGCUGGUCUCAGAGGAUGAUCAGCCAGAUUGGAAGUGAGACACAGUCCAGACUCCUACGGGAGGAAGCAGUGGGGAAUAUUGGACGAUGCGGGAAAGCCUAAUACAGCCAUACCGCGUGAGGGAAGAUGGAGUUCGGGUUGUAGAGCCAUUUUGUUGGUAGAGAAAUACAGCAGGUUAAUACCGCGCUGUUCUGACUGUACCCGAAGAAUAAGCACCGGCUAACUUCGUG